UACGUAGGGCGCAAGCGUUAUCCGGAAUUAUUGGGCGUAAAGAGCUCGUAGGCGGUUUUGUCGCGUCUGCCGUGAAAGUCCGGGGGCUUAACCCCCGGAUCUGCGGUGGGGUACGGGCAGACUAGAGUGAUGUAGGGGAGACUGGAAUUCCACGUGUAGCGGUGAAAUGCGUAGAGAUGUGGAGGAACACCGAUGGCGAAGGCAGCCUUCUGGGCCAAUACUGACGCUCAUGCACGAAAGCGUGGGGAGCAAACAGG
rnacentral:rRNA from 1 species